ACGGGAGGCAGCAGUGGGGAAUAUUGCACAAUGGGGGAAACCCUGAUGCAGCAACGCCGCGUGAGUGAUGAAGUAUUUCGGUAUGUAAAGCUCUAUCAGCAGGGAAGAUAAUGACGGUACCUGACUAAGAAGCUCCGGCUAAAUACGUGCCAGCAGCCGCGGUAAUACGUAUGGAGCAAGCGUUAUCCGGAUUUACUGGGUGUAAAGGGUGCGUAGGUGGCACCGCAAGUCAGAUGUGAAAUACCGGGGCUCAACCCCGGGGCUGCAUUUGAAACUGCGGAGCUGGAGUGCAGGAGGGGCAGGCGGAAUUCCUAGUGUAGCGGUGAAAUGCGUAGAUAUUAGGAGGAACACCGGUGGCGAAGGCGGCCUGCUGGACUGAUACUGACACUGAGGCACGAAAGCGUGGGGAGCAAACAGGAUUAGAUACCCUGGUA
rnacentral:rRNA from 1 species